CAGCAGCCACGGUAAUACGGAGGGUGCAAGCGUUAAUCGGAAUUACUGGGCGUAAAGCGUGCGUAGGCGGUUUGUUAAGUCUGUUGUGAAAUCCCCGGGCUCAACUCCGGAAUUGCCUUUAAGACUGCCGAGCUAGUAGGUGAGAGAGGUAAGUGGAAUUCCGAGUGUAGAGGUGAAAUUCGUAGAUAUUCGGAAGAACACCAGUGGCGAAGGCGGCUUACUGGCUCAUUCUAGACGCUGAGGUGCGAAAGCGUGGGGAGCAAACAGGAUUAGAUACCCCUGUAGUCCCUGUCUCUUAUAC
rnacentral:rRNA from 1 species